rnacentral:rRNA from 1 species
CCUACGGGUGGCAGCAGUGGGGAAUAUUGGACAAUGGGCGAAAGCCUGAUCCAGCCAUGCCGCGUGUGUGUAGAAGGCCUUCGGGUUGUAAAGCACUUUCAGUGGGGAAGAAAGCCUUGGGGCUAAUACCCUCGAGGAAGGACAUCACCCACAGAAGAAGCACCGGCUAACUCCGUGCCAGCAGCCGCGGUAAUACGGAGGGUGCGAGCGUUAAUCGGAAUUACUGGGCGUAAAGCGCGCGUAGGCGGUCUGAUAAGCCGGUUGUGAAAGCCCCGGGCUCAACCUGGGAACGGCAUCCGGAACUGUCAGGCUAGAGUGCAGGAGAGGAAGGUAGAAUUCCCGGUGUAGCGGUGAAAUGCGUAGAGAUCGGGAGGAAUACCCGUGGCGAAGGCGGCCUUCUGGACUGACACUGACGCUGAGGUGCGAAAGCGUGGGUAGCAAACAGGAUUAGAUACCCGAGUAGUC